GACUGCCUUUGCAAAAGAAUUUGACAUCCAGUUGCUAACUCAUAAUGAUCCAAAAGAACUACUUUGCGAAGCAGGCUUCCAAGAAGCUCUUCAAGAAAGUAUCCCAGAAUGCCAAGUACAUGAAUGGACUCCACUGUGGCUUCUGCGGUAUUCAGUUAUUGUGAAGAGCAGAGGAAUUAUCAAAUCCAAAGGCUACAUCUUGCAAGCAAGAAGAAUACCAUCAUCUUAAGACUUCUGACAGGGCCUGCUUCCGAAAAGACCCUGUCUCUACAAGGCUUUGCACCAGUGUGCAAAUUAGAAAAUUCAAAAGAACAAAUGUGUUAUUAUGAAGUGGUCAGUGAUGCCCAAAUUGUAUAGUGGUAUAGCUGUGUGACAGCAUAGUUGAUCCAUCAGUUUUCUCUUCUUUUCUUACAUGCUUUCUGUAUGGAAACCAGCUUGCUCAAAUGGGAAAUAGUUGUUGUCACUAAACUGGAGUUUGCUAAUUUAGAGAUGAUAUAUAAAUAAAAGUAUUUGAAAUAUUUUAAUGAGUAAUAUAAACUAAAAAUAUUUGACUAACUAUAUUUUGAUUGAAAUAUUUUUUAUUUGUAAGGGGAAAUAUACCUUGUUUUCUUAUUGGUAGCUGUUGUGGCAGAAGAAAAUGUAUAAAUACUGGUGGAAUAAGUAGUUUUCCAGCUUAAGCCUAUGAAAUAAAACAAAGUGUAUGCAAGCAGAAUUGCUCAAUAUAGUAAUGAAUGUAUAUUUGAUAUUUUCCACAUCAUUGUAAGGGUCAUAUGCCUCUUGUAUUAAGAUUAAAUUAUUAUUAUUAUUUUCUUCUGAGGCACAUCUCUCUGAGACUCCUCUCUCUUGUACUUGGUUUAUGACCAAGAGAGCUGGUGGAAGAACACUGAAAACAAAGUUAACUUUAUCAAAGCUUGGCUGUUAUUGCUUUUGCUGGUGUUUUAGGGGCCAUACACAUUUUGAAAACCAUAAAAGGCUAAUGCUUGAUAUGUUUAUAUAAACCCAAGUAUUGCAUACACAGUAGAGUAUUGUGCAAUUAAUCUGUCUUACUUGGAGGAUACAAAGAAAAAUGUGCUCUCAAAACCAACCAAUAGUCCAGCCAUUAUUCACUUACCAUUAUUCAGAAAACAUGCUACCGGUAUUUGAACAAUAUUAAAUAUAAUGCACUAGUGAAGAAUUUCCUGGGAGAUGGCAAACAUUAUCUGGAACUUCUACAUUCAUAUCACAAAUAAUGUUUGUCAUAGGCAGCUAGAAUGUAUCAUCUUUUUUGUAUUCAUAAUAUACCUGCACAGGUUAGUGGUUCCACUGGUUAAACAUCUUAUACUUUUAUUUAUAAAGCCUGUGGUUGACAUUUCAUUCAUCAGCUUUUACAUGGAGAGUUCACUUCCAUUGAAAUUAUAGGGCAUUACUAAUGAAUGUUGCAUGAGGUUUAAACAGUAGUUGGUUUGGUACAGUCUUGGACAACUAAUGGAAUAGACUUCUGUGCAACAUUUCAGAUGGUUCUGGAGUAACCUUUGAAUUUCUCCUUAAAGCAUUUGAAUAGUUCUAGAGACAGUGAUUGAAAACAAAUAGGAUGUAUGUGUAUGUUGAAUGUUCAGGAAAAUGUUUAUAUGCAAAAUUAGGGUUGAUUACAAAACUGUUUGAACUUUGACUGUAAAGAGGCAAAAUUGUAUGUGGGCCUGUUUCAAAAUUAACAUUUUUACUUAAAACUGUGCCGAAUGUGCUUUUUACUAGUUUGAGAUUAUUGUUGAUAAAGGAAACUUUUACAGAAAUCUGCUGGUAACAGUUUGUCCCUUGUGCAUCAGUGCAGGCAUUCAGGUUCUUGUUCCAGUUUUUUUUUAAUAAAACACUUUGGCCUGUUUUUCCUCCUUUGA